UUUUUUCUCAGAAUAUUUUUAAGCAUGCCAAGAUAACUAAGUUUGUUAUCUAGACUACUAAAGCAGGCACCAAGAAGGUGCGUCGUCAGAGUGAGUUUAUUGGAUAUGUGUCUCAAGGUAGAGAUUUUUCAAGUUCUGCGACUUCUGGUAGCCAGGUAUCAGGUCAUACGGGUGGGUGGAGGUUUCAGGAUUGGUUCUUCAGGAUAGGGUGGUCGUUCUAGUUCAUCCGCACCUUAUCAAAUUGAGUCAGGCCAGUGAGGAUGUUUUGUAUGUGAGGAGUUUGUCCAUGUGGCCAAGGAUUUCCCUUGACGUUUAUAUGGAUCCACCCGGCGGGAUUCUCAGCUUCAGUUUUGCCGUACUUCAAUUUUUCCAAUGAGAGGCGGUUCACAGAGUGGUAAGGGUGGUGCCAGUGGUACUAACGGAGCUAGAGAUAGAGGUAGAGGUGCUUGUGAAGGUGGUGACGGGGUUACUUAGUCCAGAAGCAGACAUGAUCAGCGUUAUGUAUAAUUGGGCGACCCAUGGUAGAGGCUUCUGAUGCAGUUAUUACAAGUAUCACUCCAAAUAUUAAAAACGUAUCUCGACUCCAGGGGAGGCUCAACCCUUUCGAAGAAGAGGCGGCCGCAUAAGACCUCCAAAAUUUGAGGG
rnacentral:lncRNA from 1 species